GACGAACGCUGGCGGCGUGCCUAAUACAUGCAAGUCGAACGCUUUUUCUUUCACCGGAGCUUGCUCCACCGAAAGAAAAAGAGUGGCGAACGGGUGAGUAACACGUGGGUAACCUGCCCAUCAGAAGGGGAUAACACUUGGAAACAGGUGCUAAUACCGUAUAACACUAUUUUCCGCAUGGAAGAAAGUUGAAAGGCGCUUUUGCGUCACUGAUGGAUGGACCCGCGGUGCAUUAGCUAGUUGGUGAGGUAACGGCUUACCAAGGCAACGAUGCAUAGCCGACCUGGGAGGGUGAUCGGCCACACUGGGACUGAGACACGGCCCAGACUCCUACGGGAGGCAGCAGUAGGGAAUCUUCGGCAAUGGACGAAAGUCUGACCGAGCAACGCCGCGUGAGUGAAGAAGGUUUUCGGAUCGUAAAACUCUGUUGUUAGAGAAGAACAAGGAUGAGAGUAGAACGUUCAUCCCUUGACGGUAUCUAACCAGAAAGCCACGGCUAACUACGUGCCAGCAGCCGCCGUAA
rnacentral:rRNA from 1 species